rnacentral:rRNA from 1 species
GAAACGCAGGCUAAUACCGAAUACGUUCUACGGAAUAAAGGUGGCCACUCCUUGGAAGCUAUCGCUAAUAGAUUGGCCCGCGUUGGAUUAGCUAGUUGGUGGGGUAAAAGCCUACCAAGGCGACGAUCCAUAGCUGGUUUGAGAGGAUGAUCAGCCACACUGGGACUGAGACACGGCCCAGACUCCUACGGGAGGCAGCAGUGGGGAAUAUUGGACAAUGGGCGCAAGCCUGAUCCAGCAAUGCCGCGUGUGUGAAGAAGGCCCGAGGGUUGUAAAGCACUUUCAAUCGUGAAGAAGGGCAUAAAGCUAAUACCUUUGUGCAUUGACGUUAACGAUAGAAGAAGCACCGGCUAACUCUGUGCCAGCAGCCGCGGUAAUACAGAGGGUGCAAGCGUUAAUCGGAAUUACUGGGCGUAAAGCGCGCGUAGGUGGUUUGAUAAGUUGGAUGUGAAAUCCCCGGGCUUAACCUGGGUCGGUCAUUCAAAACUGUCAGACUAGAGUAUGGUAGAGGGUAGUGGAAUUCCUAGUGUAGCGGUGAAAUGCGUA